GGGGAAUUUUGGACAAUGGGCGCAAGCCUGAUCCAGCCAUGCCGCGUGUCUGAAGAAGGCCUUCGGGUUGUAAAGGACUUUUGUCAGGGAAGAAAAGGCUGUUGCUAAUACCGACAGCUGAUGACGGUACCUGAAGAAUGAGCACCGGCUAACUACGUGCCAGCAGCCGCGGUAAUACGUAGGGUGCGAGCGUUAAUCGGAAUUACUGGGCGUAAAGCGAGCGCAGACGGUUACUUAAGCAGGAUGUGAAAUCCCCGGGCUCAACCUGGGAACUGCGUUCUGAACUGGGUGACUAGAGUGUGUCAGAGGGAGGUAGAAUUCCACGUGUAGCAGUGAAAUGCGUAGAGAUGUGGAGGAAUACCGAUGGCGAAGGCAGCCUCCUGGGAUAACACUGACGUUCAUGCUCGAAAGCGUGGGUAGCAAACAGGAUUAGAUACCCUGGUAGUCCACGCCCUAAACGAUGUCAAUUAGCUGUUGGGCAACUUGAUUGCUUAGUAGCGUAGCUAACGCGUGAAAUUGACCGCCUGGGGAGUACGGUCGCAAGAUUA
rnacentral:rRNA from 1 species